CUACGGGAGGCAGCAGUGGGGAAUAUUGGACAAUGGGGGAAACCCUGAUCCAGCAAUGCCGCGUGUGUGAAGAAGGCCUGCGGGUUGUAAAGCACUUUCGGUUGGGAGGACUGCUUCUAGCACUAAUAUUGUUGGAAGUUGACGUUACCUUCAGAAGAAGCACCGGCUAACUCCGUGCCAGCAGCCGCGGUAAUACGGGGGGUGCAAGCGUUAAUCGGAAUUACUGGGCGUAAAGCGCGCGUAGGCGGCUAGAUCAGUCGGGUGUAAAAGCCCCGGGCUUAACCUGGGAACUGCAUCCGAUACUGUCUAGCUUGAGUACAGGAGAGGAGAGUGGAAUUCCACAUGUAGCGGUGAAAUGCGUAGAUAUGUGGAGGAACACCAAUGGCGAAGGCAGCUCUCUGGCCUGAUACUGACGCUGAGGUGCGAAAGCGUGGGGAGCAAACAGGAUUAGAUACCCCUGUAGUC
rnacentral:rRNA from 1 species